rnacentral:rRNA from 1 species
AUUGAACGCUGGCGGCAUGCUUUACACAUGCAAGUCGAACGGUAACAGGCCGCCAGGUGCUGACGAGUGGCGAACGGGUGAGUAAUGCAUCGGAACGUGCCCAGUCGUGGGGGAUAACGCAGCGAAAGCUGCGCUAAUACCGCAUACGAUCUAUGGAUGAAAGCGGGGGACCGUAAGGCCUCGCGCGAUUGGAGCGGCCGAUGUCAGAUUAGGUAGUUGGUGGGGUAAAGGCUCACCAAGCCAACGAUCUGUAGCUGGUCUGAGAGGACGACCAGCCACACUGGGACUGAGACACGGCCCAGACUCCUACGGGAGGCAGCAGUGGGAAAUUUUGGACAAUGGGCGCAAGCCUGAUCCAGCAAUGCCGCGUGCAGGAAGAAGGCCUUCGGGUUGUAAACUGCUUUUGUACGGAACGAAACGGUCCUGGUUAAUACCCGGGGCUAAUGACGGUACCGUAAGAAUAAGCACCGGCUAACUACGUGCCAGCAGCCGCCGCGGUAA